CAGGGGUGUGUGCAAGGAGCAGGGAGUGAGAAGAUGUGUUGCUGGAGGAGUGAAGAGUACAAGUGUGAUCAGGCUUCAGGAGGAAGAUCCUGCGGAGCCUGUGAUCAGUGGAACAGAUAGGAAACAGCCUUCUUAAAACAGAUUAAAGCCCUUGCAUGACAUUCUUUGAUGAACUACAAUGUGAAUACCAGACCCAGAGGGAUUCCUGUGACCCAUAUGCACUCCGUGUCCCCUCUGCCAGUUGGCAUCAAGAGUGUCUCUGUGCUGCUUUUCCUUGCCCUCUGGGAAGGUCGUCUCCUUCAGUCCAGGAAACAACAACUCUCUCUUCACCUCUUCCUCAUUGCCCACAUGCCGGGACUGAACUGUGAUUUGCAGAACAUUGGCUUUGUACCAUUCUCUGUGCCACACCUACCUCCCCUGGAGCCACACGGGGCAGAGAACUGAAUCUCAGCCUCUCGCAGG